rnacentral:rRNA from 1 species
UACGUAGGGCGCAAGCGUUGUCCGGAAUUAUUGGGCGUAAAGAGCUCGUAGGCGGCCUGUUGCGUCCGCUGUGAAAUCCCGGGGCUCAACCCCGGGCCUGCAGUGGAUACGGGCUGGCUAGAGGCAGGCAGGGGAGAACGGAAUUCCUGGUGUAGCGGUGAAAUGCGUAGAUAUCAGGAGGAACACCUGUGGUGUAGACAGCUUACUGGACCAUUUCUGACGCUGAGACACGAAAGCGUGGGUAGCAAACAGG